AGAAAUGCAGCCAAACUAAAACGAGUUAGAAAUAGUACAUGGAUUGGUUUUAAUGAAGACCAAGAAGACUUGUAUGAGGGGAAAGAGAUGCACAGAAUUACAGAUGACUACAAAAAAAUCUCACAGGACAACCAUCCUCUGUCCCCACA